GGGGGAUCCUGCAUUCCUCUCUAUGUGAAGGCUUAGCUUCAUCAGGAGCGAGCCUACGUAAGCUCUCUGCAAAUUCUCUCUAUGAGCCCUAAUUUGAUCGCACUGGAGUGUGCAAGGGAGACAGGCGGAUAAGGUCUGAAGCAAUACCGAGGAAGAAAGGAAAACUCUUGAAAGCUUGUCUUUUAAGUAUUAGGUUGUGGAUUUUCUAGUCAUUAGCAUUGUAGAAACCAUCCUCAAGCAGCGAGAGCAAACACAUGACCUCAGGGGUUACAGCUAAUGAUCUCACAAUUCCAAUCCUUCAAAACAUGUCUGCUAUUUCUACAGAUUCCUCCCGCUGAGGAGGAUAUCACUCCAUACCAGUGACCCCGACCAUUGUCAGCAACUAAGGGAAUCAAAUCGUGUUCACCAUCAAACAUCAUCCUACACAGAGGUCACACAGACGCCUAA